CGGAUCCAUCUUCAGCGCUCCUCCUCCCACUAUAAAUCCCAGACGCUCGGCAACCUGUCGCAGAAUCUUAACGUGCGUUUGGAAGUCCUCAGCUAUAAUCAGCAAGUCGUCGAGAUACGCAUAGACGUUUGAACGCAUCUCAACCGGAAUCACCUUAUCGACCAGUCUACAUAGGCGUUGUGCGGCGUUGCAGAUGCCAAAGGGCAUCAUACGGAACUGGUACAGAGGCCGUCCCGGCACUUGCCAAAAAGCGAAUUUUAAGUCGACGCUGGAGAUAUAUAUCGUCUGAUCGAGACGCGACAAAAUCCCCUCGAUGCUAGGAAGUGGGCCCCUUCUGUGAGCGUGAUUCGCCUGCUUGCAUCGCACCCCUCUUCACGUUUCCCGCGCAAUUCGGACAGGUUGGACAAUAUGCAUCGGGCUUUCCACACCGGUAGCAGAAAAUUCGCCUCUCCGAUGUCAUACAGUCCCUAAAGCCAUGAUCGGUCUGCCCGCAGUUCCAGCAAAUCAACUUCUGUGGAACACGCUGUGUCAUUUGCGCUUCCUCAAUGACCUCUGCCUCUUCAU